rnacentral:rRNA from 1 species
UACAGAGGGUGCUAGCGUUGUUCGGAAUUACUGGGCGUAAAGGGCGCGUAGGCGGUCUGCUAAGUUGGAUGUGAAAACUCUGGGCUUAACCCAGAGCCUGACAUUCAAAACUGACAGGCUAGAGUUCUGGAGGGGAUAGCGGAAUUCCUGGUGUAGCGGUGAAAUGCGUAGAUAUCAGGAGGAACACCGGUGGCGAAAGCGGCUCUCUGGAACGGUACUGGACGCUGAAGACGCGAAAGCGUGGGGAGCGAACAGG